CUCAGACCACUCGUUCCUCACCGCCCCGGACACGGGGAACCAGAAGGGAGAUUGGGAAAUUCCUUGCCAAUAUGAUUUCGCAGUUUGUCAGAGUUCCCAGGCAAGAUGGGAUGGUCAAGUGGCUGGAAUGACUUAGAAGUGACGCAACCCCCAGUGUUUUCCAUGAAGGGAGACAUGAAAAAGUAUCUUCAAGACUGUCGUUUAAGAGAUGUGACUGAAUUUGUCGGCUCCAAAGACAGAACUCAGGCAAAACAAGCAGGGAGAAAGGGUCUCUGGAGUGGCUGAAGACUUUGGGAAACGGGACUCAUCUACCAAAG